ensembl:lncRNA
GCCGGCAGGGGGCAGCACGCGCCGGCCGCCGUCCCACGUGGCGCCCGCGCCCGAGCGAGGCCCAGGGCCUGGCGGUGGCCUGCGCGCGCUCAGGGCGUUUGGGCCGGCUGUAGAGUGCCUCGCUUGGACCAGAUGCUGGAGCCAGCAUGGGGAUGACCUGAAGCCUGCCCUUGAGGAGUUGCGGAGAUGGCUUCAAGUCUUCCUACUGGGUGGUAAAUAAAAUGAACCUCUUCUGGUACAUUUACGGAUGAGACUUAAUACUUUCUCGUGGAGAAAUAAUGGGCUCAUUCAGUUCUGAGAUAAGUUUUUAUUCUCUGGGACUCAGACGUUUCCUUUACAGUUUUAGAAUUUGUAUACUUGAUGUGCAGAAAAUUUGGCCAUGGAACCGUGAUUCUUGGAUCAUACCUUCAGUGGGAGAAAAGCAAAUGUCAUGCUUCAUAACCUGUUUAAUUUUCUUAAUUGAAUUUAGCUCAAAUCCAGUGAAUUUCAAUCCUUUGAGGGCGUAACUUUCGUAUUUGUGUAUUCUGUAAACAAAGAAUUGAUUGAAUGUAGUUCUUAAAAAGCUUUUAUGCUUAUUAGACUAUACUGACUCUAGAAGGAAACAAUUUGUUGUCCCGCUAUUCAUUAUUUAAAUAAAAUUGCUAGUAAGGAUAGAAAUUUUUAUUGGCACAUUUUGUCACUAAAAU